rnacentral:misc_RNA from 1 species
CAACCCUCAGGCCCUUGGGAGCCUGGUGUUGGGGCACCUGCAUGACCGCAGGCCCUAAAAGAUAGUGGCGGUGUCCGCUAGCACUCCGGGCGCAGUAGAUCUCUUCCUCGCCUAGGACGUCUUGCGGGCUGCCGGCCGUAAAACACCCCCCUAUAAUACAA